GGGGAGGUGCCAGAGUGGACGAUUGGAGCCGCCUGCUAAGCGGUUGAACCCCUAAAGGGUUCCGCAGGUUCGAAUCCUGUCCUCCCCG
rnacentral:tRNA from 1 species